AUAGGAAUCACUGUGGUGGGGUCUUGUUGAAAUGCAGAUUCUGAUUCAGAAGGUGUGGGGUGUGACCUGAGAUUCUGCAUUUCUCACAAGCUCUCAGGUGAUGGUGAU
rnacentral:pre_miRNA from 1 species